GAUGAACGCUGGCGGCGUGCCUAAUACAUGCAAGUCGAGCGAACAGACGAGGAGCUUGCUCCUCUGACGUUAGCGGCGGACGGGUGAGUAACACGUGGAUAACCUACCUAUAAGACUGGGAUAACUUCGGGAAACCGGAGCUAAUACCGGAUAAUAUAUUGAACCGCAUGGUUCAAUAGUGAAAGACGGUUUUGCUGUCACUUAUAGAUGGAUCCGCGCCGCAUUAGCUAGUUGGUAAGGUAACGGCUUACCAAGGCAACGAUGCGUAGCCGACCUGAGAGGGUGAUCGGCCACACUGGAACUGAGACACGGUCCAGACUCCUACGGGAGGCAGCAGUAGGAAAUCUUCCGCAAGGGGCGAAAGCCUGGCGGAGCAACGCCGCGUGAGUGAUGAAGGUCUUCGGAUCGUAAAACUCUGUUAUUAGGGAAGAACAAAUGUGUAAGUAACUAUGCACGUCUUGACGGUACCUAAUCAGAAAGCAACGGCUAACUACGU
rnacentral:rRNA from 1 species